GUGAGGAAUAUUGGUCAAUGGGCGGGAGCCUGAACCAGCCAAGUCGCGUGAAGGAAGAAGGAUCUAUGGUUCGUAAACUUCUUUUGCAGGGGAAUAAAGUGCAGGACGUGUCCUGUUUUGUAUGUACCCUGAGAAUAAGGAUCGGCUAACUCCGUGCCAGCAGCCGCGGUAAUACGGAGGAUCCGAGCGUUAUCCGGAUUUAUUGGGUUUAAAGGGUGCGUAGGUGGUUUGAUAAGUCAGCGGUGAAAGUUUGCAGCUUAACUGUAAAAAUGCCGUUGAAACUGUCUGACUUGAGUGUAAAUGAGGUAGGCGGAAUGCGUGGUGUAGCGGUGAAAUGCAUAGAUAUCACGCAGAACUCCGAUUGCGAAGGCAGCUUACUAAGCUACAACUGACACUGAAGCACGAAAGCGUGGGGAUCAAACAGGAUUAGAUACCCGAGUAGUCC
rnacentral:rRNA from 1 species